rnacentral:rRNA from 1 species
UAAUCAUUUGUCUUUUAAAUAAAGACCUGUAUGAAUGGCAUCACGAGGGCUCAACUGUCUCCUUCCCCUAAUCAGUGAAAUUGAUCUGUCCGUGCAGAAGCGGGCAUAAAAACAUAAGACGAGAAGACCCUAUGGAGCUUAAGAUAUAAGAUCAGACACAGUUAAUAGUUUAGACCCGAAAGGAAAAAAAGCUAAAUUUCAAUGUGUUGGUUGAUUGGAUUGUCUUCGGUUGGGGCGACCGCGGAGGAGAAAAAAGCCUCCAUGUGGAGUGGGGAGACUCUCCCUAAAUCUGAGGGCUACAGCUCUAAGAAGCAGAAUGUCUGACCAGAAAUGAUCCAGGCUAAUGCCUGAUCAACGAACCAAGUUACCCUAGGGAUAACAGCGCAAUCCUUUCUCAGAGUUCA